UAAUACGUAGGGUGCGAGCGUUAAUCGGAAUUACUGGGCGUAAAGCGUGCGCAGGCGGAUGUUUAAGUCAGAUGUGAAAUCCCCGGGCUUAACCUGGGAAUGGCAUUUGAAACUGGACGUCUAGAGUGCGUCAGAGGGGGGUGGAAUUCCACGUGUAGCAGUGAAAUGCGUAGAGAUGUGGAGGAACACCGAUGGCGAAGGCAGCCCCCUGGGAUGACACUGACGCUCAUGCACGAAAGCGUGGGGAGCAAACAGG
rnacentral:rRNA from 1 species